GAUUUUUCCAAGACUGGGAAUGGCACCACCACCAUGGUAUUUCUCUUUGCGUGCCAAUAGAUUUGGAACCAUUGCCACGACCUGGCUUCUUGGAAAUUUUGCACAAUCUUUCCUACAAAGCUCUGGUGCUUUUGAAGUUUAUUGCAACGGUGAUUUGGUAUUCUCAAAACUGAAGGAGCAUAGAUUCCCGGGUGAGUUUGAGUUGAAAAAGCUUAUCGGCG
rnacentral:misc_RNA from 1 species